UUUCCUGCACCCAAUAGCCAGAUUUCACAGAAUAAUGACUAGUCUUUGUAUAUUAGGUAUCCUCGCUCCCCUAGUUCCGCAUGUCUUCGUUUGCAAGAUCAAGUCACGCUCACUCUCAGGGAACAAAGCAUCCAACUUAUGCAGAUUCCAGUCUCGUCCAUUCUCUGUCAGCAGGUCACUCACAUGACAGUCUUUUGGUGGUUUUGAUACUCCUAGCAGGUCUGCUCUGUAUCCAAUGAUCUAGCCAGAUAUUGGUCUUCCUCCCAUUACCAAGCUUGACUCGUGCACCUUGUUUGAUUAGCUGCUGCGACGGUCGAGAUCCCAAAUCAGCCGACAGAGGGUUUGACUUGGCAAAAUAUCUGCUUUUAAAUAUCCUCGUAGGACUGUCUUCGGGAGAAGAAAGCAUGACAUCGUGUAAGUGGGAAGGGCCAUGGCUACUGCGCAACUCUCUUCCUCUCUUUCUCCUUAUCUGUAGCUCCUCGGGACCUUUAGGAGGAUCAGCCUAGCACACUAGGUUACCGUGUUAAACUUGAGGCUGUGUCCACACAAAAAAAUUCAAGGAAAAGAUUGAUGAUGAAUAACCGUGCCAAUAUGUAAGUAGUUUCUCUUUUAUCUGUGUCUCCUAGAUUUCUUUUGAUAUGGAUUCUUGAUAAUAUGUACGUAGACAAAGCAGAGAUGGAACUCACUCAACUACUUAUGUACAAAGUCGGCUUCAAAGGGAGUUAUUAUGUCUUGAAACUCUGUUUUUGUUCUUUUGAUUUUUGUCUCAUUCAUUGUUUUAUUUAAAGACUUUAAAAAUGUUUCAUUCAAAGGGAAAUAAAAACGUUACAUAAGUUCAGCAAUGAGAUAAUUGCAGAAGAAUGUCUCAGCUAAUACAAUUACUACAGCAACAACAACAAACAAACGUUGGAAGCAAAACUCAGAGAAUAAUAUAAUCCCAGUUUUGCCCUCAAAGAAUCAUCAACACAUGGACACCUUAUUAUUCUCCAGUCUCAAUGUGCUUCUUCUUCUUUUCUUAGGGUUACAAUUAC